rnacentral:rRNA from 1 species
AACGAACGCUGGCGGCAUGCCUAACACAUGCAGGUCGAACGAGACCUUCGGGUCUAGUGGCGCACGGGUGCGUAACGCGUGGGAACCUGCCCUUAGGUUCGGAAUAACUCCCCGAAAGGGGUGCUAAUACCGGAUAAUGUCUUCGGACCAAAGAUUUAUCGCCUUUGGUUGGGCCCGCGUUGGAUUAGCUAGUUGGUAGGGUAAAAGCCUACUAAGGCGACGAUUCAUAGCUGGUCUGAGAGGAUGAUCAGCCACACUGGGACUGAGACACGGCCCAGACUCCUACGGGAGGCAGCAGUGGGUAAUAUUGGACAAUGGGCGAAAGCCUGAUCCAGCAAUGCCGCGUGAGUGAUGAAGGCCUUAGGGUUGUAAAGCUCUUUUACCCGGGAUGAUAAUGACAGUACCGGGAGAAUAAGCUCCGGCUAACUCCGUG